GGCAUGAUGGCUCAACCGUUAGAGCACUGCACUGAUAUCACAGAGGUUAGGGUUCAAAAUCACUUUCAUGUCU
rnacentral:tRNA from 1 species